CGACUAACUCGAUUCAGUUGAUGUUAAUUAGAUAUCACUGGGUUGAGUUUGUCUCG
rnacentral:pre_miRNA from 1 species